UCUCAAUUCGUAUAGAGGUUAGUAUUUCUGCUUGUCAAACAGCUCGCAGGAGACCUGGGUUCGAUUCCCAGAUUGAGAG